rnacentral:misc_RNA from 1 species
CCGAGUUUACAACUCCCAAACCCAAUGUGAACAUUACCAAACUGUUGCCUCGGCGGGGUCACGCCCCGGGUGCGUAGAAGCCCCGGAACCAGGCGCCCGCCGGAGGACCAACCAAACUCUUUCUGUAGUCCCCUCGCGGACGUAUUUCUUACAGCUCUGAGCAAAAAUUCAAAAUGAAUCA